UACGGAGGGUGCAAGCGUUAAUCGGAAUUACUGGGCGUAAAGCGCACGCAGGUGGCUGAGUCAGUCGAUUGUGAAAGCCCUGAGCUUAACCUGGGAAUUGCAGUCGAUACUACUCAGCUAGAGUAUGGGAGAGGGCAGUGGAAUUCCCGGUGUAGCGGUGAAAUGCGUAGAUAUCGGGAGGAACAUCAGUGGCGAAGGCGGCUGCCUGGCCCAAUACUGACACUCAGGUGCGACAGCGUGGGGAGCAAACAGG
rnacentral:rRNA from 1 species